rnacentral:lncRNA from 1 species
UUCCUCAUCUUAUUCCUUCUUUCAAUUCCUAGAAGUUUUCUUCAUCGGUGGUUUUCUUUCUCGGUGCCUUCUCCACUCCCUGCCUUUUCCACUCCCUGCAAGAACAAAACAUUCCUUGAUUAGAAGGAGAAUGCUAACGUGGGGGCCCAUCUCUGGGGGAGCAGCUGAGUAAACUCCGUGAUGGAACGUUGUCACAUCAUAAGAAACAAAAACAAGGAGAACUCAGAGAAUCUUGGGUGGGCGUGUAAGAAUGGAGGCCGCCCAAAGGGAGCAAAACUGAGAGAUCAAUUCUGCAAUCACAUAAAAGAAAGCCACAUUAAGUGACUUUCGAAAACGGGUCCGUGCAGUGAGCAAUCUCGACUGUAGAGAAUGGAAGGGGAAGCCUGGCCCCUUCCUCCAGUCUGAGAGGUGGGGAGCCGGAGGCUGGCAGCAUGCUGGAGCAGAAGGGACAGAGAGAGAUUGUGGUUUCAGUGGAUUGAGUUCCAGCCGUGGUUUCUUAACCCAACCGGGGUCAAGUCAUCCCCGCUCAAAGCCUGAGUUCUACAGCUAUUGGAAAUUCUCCCUCUCAAGAUAUAUUUCAAAAGUCAAAAUAAAUCACCUCACCUCACACAAAACAAGAAAAAUAAAGGGAAAAAAUCACUUCAAUCUGCACUCAGAGUUCAUCAGUUCUCUCUUUGGAUGUGGAGAGCAUUUUUCAUCAUGAGUCCUUUGGCGUUGUCUUGAUCAGAGUAGGUAAGUCUUUCACAGCUGAUCAUUGUGACAAUGUUGCUCUCCCUGUGUACGAUGUUCUCCUGGUUCUGCUCACUUCACUUUGCAUCAGUUCAUGUAAGUCUUCUGAGGUUUUUCUGAAAUCCAUCUGCUCAUCAUUUAUUUUACCACAAUGAUAUUCCAUCACAAUCAUACACCACAAUGUGUUCGGCCAUUCCCCAAUUGAGAUGCCCUUGACUUUCCAUAUCCCAAAGCCACAAAGCCCUGAGGGGUAGGAGAAAGCUUUCUGGUCUUGGGAUAACCUUCAGAUUUCCAAGACUCUGGAGUCCAGAUGGGAAGCAACUCUACUCUCAUUUCACUCAUAUUUGUGGAAACAACUCAGAUUCCAAAACAAUGGAUCUGGCCUCAAAUACUUCCUAGCUAUGUGUGACCUUGAGUAAGUCACUUAACUUUUGUUUGCCCCAGUUUCCUCAUCUGUAAAAUGGGGAUAAUAAUAGCACCUCCCUCCUAGGGUGUUGUGAGG